GGUUGGAUGGCCGAGUGGUCUAAGGCGCCAGAUUCAGGACCCGCAUUCUUCGAGUGCAUCUCAUGUGUUCAUAGCACAUUCUGGUCUUAAUAAGGCGUGGGUUCGAAUCCCACUCCAAUCA